GGAGGGAUGCCGGAGUGGACGAACGGGACGGUCUCGAAAACCGUUGAGCCGCAAGGCUCCGUGGGUUCGAAUCCCACUCCCUCCGCCA
rnacentral:tRNA from 1 species